rnacentral:misc_RNA from 1 species
GAAAUGCGAUAAGUAGUGUGAAUUGCAGAAUUCAGUGAAUCAUCGAAUCUUUGAACGCACAUUGCGCCCCUUGGUAUUCCAUGAGGCAUGCCUGUUCGAGCGUCAUUUGUACCCUCAAGCUCUGCUUGGUGUUGGGUGUUUGUCCCCGUCUCCGCGCGUGGACUCGCCCCAAAGUGAUUGGCAGCCGGCGUACUGGUCCCGGAGCGCAGCACAUGUCGCGCAAACGAGUGCCUUGGUACGGCGGCGUCCAUAAGCCCCUCUCUCACGCUCUUGACCUCGGAUCAGGUAGGGAUACCCGCUGAACUUAAGC